UUUUCAAAGAUUUUAUAGCAGCAAGAAGGGGAAGGAGCCGCAGGAAAGGUUAACCCUUCCAGAGGAGGCCCCAGUGACCUACCUUCUCAGUCAUGGCCCACCUGCCUACAUUUACCACAAUGACCUAUGCAAGAGUUUGAAGGUAACAGUGGCUGUGUGUUCAUGUGUUUGUUGGAGAUUAAACCUAGGGCCUUAUGCCUACUAAGUACAUAUUCUAGCACUGAGUUACAUCUGCUGCCUGAGUGGCUUUCUUUUCAUUUUAUUGUAUUGCAUUUAUUUAUUUUGAGCUAUGGUUUUGUUAUGUUGCCCCAAGGCCUUGAACUCUUAAUCCUACCAUCUCAGCCUCCCCAGUAGAUUGUAGAUAGACACAAUAUCUUUAUUUUAUGUGGUGCUGAGGACCAAACCCAGGGCCUCACUUGUGCUAGGCAAGAUCUCUACCGCUGAGCCACAACCCCAGCCCCCACAGUGGCUUUUUAAAAAUGUCUUUUCUAAGCAGGACCUGGUGAUGCACACCUGUAGUCCCACCUACUCUGGAGGGUGAGCUGGAGGAUCACUUGAGCACAGGACUUCAGUGCCAACCUUGGAACUGAAGCAAGACUGUCAAAACCAAAGCCAACGAAACCAAACAAAAACAAAGGGGUGGGGUUGGGGUUGCGGGGGAGAAACUUACUUUGGAAGUUUAAAUGAAAGCAAAGUUUAAAAUAGAAAUUAUUAUUAUUUUUUUUUAAAGAGAGGGAGAGAGAGAAUUUUUUGAUAUUUAUUUUUUAGUUUUCGGUGGACACAACAUCUUUGUUUGUAUGUGCUGCUGUGGAUCGAACCCAGGCCGCAUGCAUGCCAGGCGAGCGCGCUACCACUUGAGCCACAUCCCCAGCCCCUAAAAUAGAAAUUAUUGUAGUGACAUUUGAGUCUAUAGGAAAAAGUAUUCGUUUUGUUGAAGUUGUCAGUCCACUUUUGAUAGUAUAGAAAUCCAAGUACAUAUAUAGUACACUUAUUUUAAUGUGAUUAAUUUUUUCUCAGUUUUUACUUAGAAAACCUGAAACCUUGGGGCUCUGGGUUGGGGCUCAGUGAUAGAGCUCUUGUCUGGCCUGUGUGAGGCACUCGGUUUAAUCCAGCACCACAUAAAAAAUAUAAGUAAAAUCAAGGUAUUAUUCAUAUCUACACCUAAAAUAUAUAGAUAUAUUUAAAAUGAAAAAGAAAUCUGAAACCUAUAGAAGAAUUUGAGGAAUAGUACAUGGGCUGGGCAUAGUGGCACAUAACUUGUUAUAAUUCCAGCAAUUCCAGAGGAUGAGGCAGGGGGAUUGCAAGUUCAAAGCCAACUUCACUGGUGGUGGUAGUGGUGGUGGUGGUGGUGGUGGUAGUAGUAGUAGUAGUAGUAGUAGUAGUAGUAAUAAAAACAUUAUUUUUUUGGCAGGGCCUGUCUAGGUUGCCCAGGCUCAGAAUCUCAGAAUAGCCUGGUCUAUAGGACCCUGAGAGCAAGCCCAGCUCCAUUUCCAGGCUGGGUGGGGUAGGAUACCUAGAAUGACAUCCAGGACCUUUCAUGAGCUGGACAAAUGUUCUAAUACAGAGUUACAUUCCUAAUCACAAUUGAUUCAAUUUAAUAUUAUAUACUAUACAGUUUCAAAUAUUUUCAAAGCCUCCCAGCACUGCAGCAUGCAACUAUUAAUCCCAGUGACUCUGGAGUCUGAUGAAGGAAAAUUGAAAGUUACAGGUUUGCUUUGGCAAUUUAGUGAGAUCCUGCCUCAAAAUUUAAAAAAAAAAAAAAAAUUACUGGGGAUGUAUCUCCAUAGAAAAAGGUUCCUGGAUUCCGUGCCCAGUACUGAAAGAAAAACAAACCAAACAACAAAAACCCUCUCCUCAAUCUUGUUGAGCUACUUUCCUCCAAAUCCAUUAUGGGUCAGUCCUAGAGUGCAUCAAUUUGCAGUUUAGUCAAACUGAUGGCUCAAGUCUCUUUUAAUCUGUCUAGUUUUCCCACCUUUGUGAGUGGACAUGGGUGUGUUUCUUGCAUAUGCUUGGAGACUACCUGUCUUUUCUUACAUUUUUAUAGAAUUUUUUGAUUUGAAGGUCAAGUGAAAGGCAUCAAGUGGCAGUAAAAUUCAAGUUUGAAAUUGGUUCUCCAAUCCAUGUUUAGCUGUCAUCCUGGGCAGGGCAGGGAGACCUGUUUCAAAAUAAAACAGGUCUAGGGAUGUUGCUCAGUGGAAAAGUGCCCUUGGGUUCAAUUGGCAGUACCUUCCCACAUUCCACCCCAACCAAAAAGAGAGAGAAUGUCUAAUGCUUCUAGAUACUAAAUUCCUAAUUAGAGGAGAUUAGCAUGUUGCUAAAAAUAGGUGUAGCUGCAUAAACUCAGAGAUUAAAUUGAUCUGCUGUAUCUACACUAGGUGAUAAUAAAGAAGGAAGAUAAAGGAAUGUGCCAAUCAUUGCCUCACUGGAAAAAUAAAAAAGGUAAAAUUUAAAAAUGAAGUAGUGGCAUUCAUAGAGCCAUGAGGAAGUAUGGAUAAAAAUAUUACAUUGAAAUGUGGGUUUUGGUGAACUUUAUAAAUAUAGUAAGGAUAUUUGUUGAUUAAAAUAUGUGGAAGCGGGCUGGGGAUGUGGUUCAAGCAGUAGCGUGCUUGCCUGGCAUGCGCAGGAUGCUGGGUUUGAUCCUCAACACCACAUAAAAAUAAAAUAAAGAUAUUGUGUCCACCUAAAACUAAAAAAUAAAUAUUAAAAAAUAUGUGGAAGCUAUUUAAAAGUAACAAUUUUGUUACCCACUCAUGAAAUCUAGUUUGUCCUUACUCAGUAGAUAGUGUAAAACAGCCAAUCUGUGGGUUAGAACAUAUAAUUGGAAAUGUAAUCCAGCUGACCAAGGCUUUGUUAAAGCCUCUGAUAUUUAAUUACUUAACUAUAACAAGGUAGGAUCAUCAAAAUAAAGAGCUACUUGGGCCACAUUUCUUAACAUAAUGUUUUAUGAUGAAUGAUAUGAUUAGAGUACAAGGCCUGACCGGUUGAUUUCUGCUCAAUACAAUUUCUAAGGAAAAAUUCUGAAGAUUAAUAUGUGUGCUAUUCUUAGGGGAUAAAUUACAAUAUCAAUAAUGUAGAAUGUAUUUUUCUGUUUGAUUUAUCUGUAAAGACUCAGUCAAUCCAGGUGCAAUGGUGCAUGCCUAUAAUCCCAGUGGCUGAGGAGGCUGAGGCAGAAAGAUUGCAACUUCAAAGCCAGUUACAGGAAUUUAGUGAGGCCCUUAGCAAUUUAAGGGCUUGGGAUGCGGCUCAGUGGUAGAGCAUACCUGGGUUCAAUACACAAUACUAAAAAGAAAAAGGAAGGAAGGAAUGAAAACUGAAGUCAAAUUUAUUGCCCAAGAAAUGCAAAAUUUGCUUACUUCUGAAAGAAGAAAACCCCUUGGCUUUCUACUAUUUUUGUUCAUUCUUAAACAUUUCAUUCUACUUUUUCAUGGAUUUUAUGAAAAAUUUUUUAAAGUCCACAUAAUUUUAAACAAGGGAAGCUGUAAAAUAGUACAGAUUAUUCACAUAUAUAUUUCAUUCAGUCUCCCAAGUGUUUACUAUAUACAUAUGUUUUUUCAACUUAAUGCCACUUUCUCUUUCUUUUAAUUUUAAAAAAUUUUUUAUGUGGGCUGGGGAUUUGGCUCAAGCGGUAGCGCGCUAGCCUGGCAUGUAUGCGGCCCGGGUUCGAUACUCAGCACCACAUACAAACAAAGACGUUGUGUCCGCCGAAAACUAAAAAAUAAAUAUUUAAAAAAAAAAUUUAUGUGGUGCUAAGGAUCAAACCCAUGGUUUUAUACAUGCUAGGCAAGAGCGCUACCACUCAGCCACAACCCCAGCCCAAAUGUUUACUAUAUAUUUAUGUAUAUAUUUUUGCUUUAUCUCGAUUUCUUUCUCUAUAUAACCCCCCCCCACACACACAUACACACACAUCCAUUCCUUGAGAGUAAGUUUCGGAAAGGAUGUCCUUUAAACCUAAAUACUACACCAUGUGUUUCCUUCAUACAAGGACAUCUUACAUAAGUACAGUACAAUGAUGAAACUAAGGAAGUUAAAGCUGAUCGGAUAUGAUUCGACUCUGGUUCAGUGUACUGAUCAGAACCCUAUUCUUAUUUUCCCCAUUGUCCUUGUAAUGCUUGUGUAUCAAACGAUAAUCUCAUCAUAUACAUGUGGUUAUUGUCUUUGUAGUCUUUGUCAGUUAUUUGCAGAGUAUAUUCAAUUAUUUUUGUAGCAUCUCUCAAUCUGGGUUUAUUUUAUGUUUGCUCAUGCUUAGAUUCAGGUUGUUUUUGUGCAGGGGAUUGAACUAAGGAUCCCUUAUCUAUUGAAUAUAUCCCCAGCCCCAUCCCCCUCUCCUUUUUUUUUUUUUUUUGUAGUUGUAGAUGGCAGCAUGCCUUUAUUUUAUUUGUUUAUUUUAUGAGGUGCUAAGGAUUGAACCAGUGACUUACACAUGCUAAGCAAAGCACUCUGCCAACUGAGCUACAUCCCCAGCCCUUUUAAUUUUUUAUUUUGAGACAGGUUCUUGCUAAGUUGUGUAGGGCCUUGCUAAGUUGGUGAUGCUGGCUUGAAUCUUCUUGCCUUAGUCUUCUCAGCAGCUGGGAUUAUAGGCUGGCACCUCCAUGGCCUGGUACAAUUUUUGUUUGUUUGUUUGUUUGUUUUAAUUUAUUUUAAGCUUUAAAUGGACACAAUAUCUUUAUUUGUUUAUAUUUAUAUGGUGUUGGGGAUUGAACCCAAUACUUCACGAAUUCGAGGAAAGCCCUCCAUCCACCACUGAGCCACAACCCUAGCCCCAGGUUGUUCAUUUUUAACAAGAAUCUUACAGAGAUGAAUUUGUGAUCUUCUAAGUGUCUUGUGAUGUCAUGUAUCUCAUUAUUAUGAUGUUAGCAUUUAUCACUAGGUUAAGGUAAUUUCUGCUAAGUGUCUUCAGAAGUCAGUCGUUACCUUUUUCAUUUUGUAAUCAUAUAAUCUUCUGAGUAGUUAAGAGCAUGUACCUUUUCUGUAGUAAAGGUGUAGCUCAGUGGUUGAGUAUGGGCAUAGCAUGCAUAAAUUUCUGAAUUUCAUCCUCUCUUAGAAGAGAGGGAAAGAAUCCAAACAAAACAGAAACUGUGUAAAUUUUCUAUUAUUCUCCUGGCCUUUUAGCAAUGACCCAGGUUUGUUCUUUUUUUUUUUUUUAAGGUACUAGGGAUACUUUACAACUACUGACCACAUCCCAGCCCUUUUUAUGCUGUCAAGGAUUCUUAUCUGGAAGAAAUAUUAUUAUGGUGCUUCAUUUGAACCUAACCAUUCUAUCUUGUGUUACAUUGUAUCUAGUGCACUUGCUUUGGGCAUAGAAAUAGGAAAUGUCUAUUUUUUUUUUUUUGUAUUAGAGAUUGUACCCAGUGAUGCUCUAUUGCUGAGCAACAUUCCCAGCCCCCACUGUCUUGUUUUUCUUUCUUUGUUCUUUUUUUUUUCUUUUAGUUGUAGAUGGACACAAUACCUUUAUUUUAUUUAUUUACUUUUAUGUGGUGCUGAAGAUAGAACCCAGUGCCUCACAUGUGCUAGGCAAGCACUCUUCUACUAAGUCAAAACCCCAGCCCCAUCUCCAGCUUUUUUUAUUUUUUUGGUGGUGCUGGGGGUGUAACUCAGGGCCUUGUGCAUGUGAGGCAAGCAUUUUUCCUUUUUAAAAAGUUAAAACCAAAUUUGUUUCUUCAACUUGUAUUUUGCAUUUUGUGACAGGAUCUCACUAAAUUGCCCAGGCUAUCACUCUAAUUUCUAAUCUGCUUGCUCCACCUCCUGAGUAGCUAGCUGGGAUUAUAGGCUCCCUAGGCCUGGCAAUAGAACCUUUAAGAAAUAAUGAAGAAUAUCUAUGUCUCUAUUUAAUGUCCUGUUACACAGUGUAGCUCAAUGCUCAAUUUUGGUUUUGAGAAAUCUUACUCAAAUUACUCAAAUUACUGUGUGGUGAAAUGCAGGCAUUGGUGGCGAUUGAAACUAACUAGACAAAGAAUUCCAUGCAGUGUGAAAUAGACUUCAUUCCUUCUUUAUCUUGCCUUUUCUUACUUUUAUCUUCUCCCCAACCUUAUCUUACCAGGAACUUAGAACAAAAGAAAGAUACCAAAUUCAGAGAAACUAAGUAGACACCAAGUAAAAUUGGGGGGAAAAAAAACAAACACAAAAAAACCCCAAAACUAUCAAUCAGUGGAAAUCUACUGUGAAUCUAAAACCCCGAAGGUCUAAAAAUAGAAAGAGAGAUAGAAAAGAAUGUACUGGAUAGGACACAAAUAACAUAAGGUGGUGUUCAGUGUAUAGAUGAGAAACAAAACAAAACAAAAUUUUCUUAUUCUCUCUUUGUGAGCUUUAUAUCUUAUAUUAACAGCAAAGACAUAACUACAGUCUAUUAUAAAACCAAUGAAUCAAGAUUAAUACAUGAAAGUGUAGCCAAAAAUUAAUGUUUUCAGAAGAAAAUGAAAUCAGUAUGAUUGAAAAGGAAAUUCGGGCUGGGGAUGUGGCUCAAGCGGUAGCGUGCUCGCCUGGCAUGCGUGCGGCCCGGGUUUGAUACUCAGCACCACAUACAAACAAAGAUGUUGUGUCCACCGAAAACUAAAAAAUAAAUAUUAAAAAAAAUUCUCUCUCUCUCUCUCUCUCUCUCUAUAUAUAUAUAUAUAUAUAGAAAAAAAAAAGAAAGGAAAUUCAAUGAAAUCUUUCAAAAUGCAAUAAUUUAAAAGUUUAAAAUCAUCACACUGAAAUGAAUUAAAACAAGUAUACAAUGGAAAGAGUAAAUUUACCAUGUACUGAAAUUAUACAUCCAUUCCUUUCUUCCUUCAUUCCUUCCUUCUACUGUGGAUUGAGCUUACAGAUGCUUUACCAUUGAGCCACAUCCCCAGCCUUUUUUAUUAUUUUGAGACAGGGUCUAGCUUAGGUCUUCUCUAAGUUGCAGAGACUGGCCAUGAACUCACAAGUCUCUUGUCUCAGCCUCCUGAGUCACUGGGAUUACAGGCAUGUGUCAUUGCACCCAGCUAUUGCUUGGACUUUUGAUGUAACUGUUAGCUAAACCAAGUCAUAAAGACUUAUCUAUAAAUCUAUAUUUUCUUCUAGGGUAUUGUUAGUUUAGCUGUUACCUUCAAGUUUUUGUUAUAUUUUAAGUUAUUUUUUCUAUAUGUGGUAUAAUAUAGGAGUCCACCUUAUUUCUUUUGCAUAUGUGGCUCAAGCCAAACAUCAUUUUUAGGAAGGCCUAUUCUUUUCCCAUUGAGUUGUCUUGGCACUCAGAACAUUACUUUUGCAAUUCAUUAAUGUCUUUGUAUAUAUCAGUCAGUUGUUCCUUUUUGUUGCUGAGAAGUUUAUUGUAAAAUGUACUACAUUUUUGUUUAUCCAUUCUCUUGUUGGUAGACAUUUGAAUUAUUUCCAGAUUUUGUUUAUUAUGAAUAAACCUGCUAUGAACAUUCUUGUACAACAUUUUGUGUGUGUUGUGCCUGGGUGGGCAUAUGUUUUUAUUUCUCUUAGAUAAAUAGUGGAAUUUCUGAGUAAUAGGAUUGGGGAAUAUUUAAUUUCAGAAUCUCUACCAGUCAUCAGGAUACUUUCAGUUGUCCUACAUCUUCACCAACAUUUGGUUUUGGCAAUAUUUUCAUUUAAUCAUCCUUGUGGAAACAACAUUCUUUUAAAUUGUCACCUAUUGCAUGGCUCUAUAAUAUCAGCUUAAAUUUAUUUAUUUUUUUUUUUUUUUAAAUAUUUAUUUAUUUUUUUAGUUCUCGGCGGACACAACAUCUUUGUUUGUAUGUGGUGCUGAGGAUCGAACCCGGGCCGCACGCAUGACAGGCGAGCGCGCUACCGCUUGAGCCACAUCCCCAGCCCCUUAAAUUUAUUUUUGAAUAAUAUUCUUAUCUAAAAAAAAUAGUCUCAUGUAUUAAAUUACAAUAAUGUUUAAGGGAAAAUACUAUUAUCCAGGAGAAUGAAUUGACUUUGACUCUUGAAGUAUUAUAAUCAUUGCUAAAAUAAACAGACUUGAUUGAACAUAGAGUUUUUUUAAAGGAUAUUAUGUAAUCUAUGUAAAUAUAAUAUUGAGCCUGUAAUAACAGCAUGAGGAAGAAUGAUGUUGAAAUUGUAAAGUGAGGUUUUGUUUUGGUUUUUAUUCUAAAGGCUUGUGGCAGAUUUUGGUAGAUAUACAAAGGAAACUGAACCUGUCUUUUAGUUUUGCCAUUUUUUCUCAAUGUUUGGAUUAAAGAAUGGAACCUAGAGACCAGGAAUUGAAACUCAGGAUGUUUUACAACAGUACACAGAAGUUUAUACUCAGUCUAAAAAGUGUUCACAUUUCUAAUUAAUAUGGAUGGGAUCUUCUAAUGUUGACAGGACUCAGAAAUAAAAGCUCUCAAAUAGUCAGUGAGACAGGCAAGGUGGAGCAGGUCUGUGAUCUCAGUGGCUUGGGAGGGGUAGGCAGGUGGAUUGCAAAUUUAAAAUCAAACUCAGCAAUUUAGUGAGAUCCAAAAAUAAAAAGGUAUGGGAUGUGUCUCAGUACUCAAGUGCCUCUGGGGUCAAUCCAUGGUACUAAAAAAAAUGAAAGGAAAGAAAAGAAAAGAAACAUCAGUGAGUUGAUGUUAUAAGGAAUGGAGAAGUUUUCAGGAAAUUUUACAUUAAUAAGAAUCUUUUUUGUAUGUGUGUACUUGUAGAUGGACAGAAUGCCUUUAUUUUAUUUUUAUGUGGUGCUAAGGAUAGAACCCAGUGCCUCACACAUGCUAGGCAAGUGUUCUGCCACUGAGCUACACCCCCAGCUGGAGAAAAUCUUAAGUGCACAAUUUCAUCAAAGAAAUAAAAAUAUCCAAGAAAUAAAAAAUGUACAACCUCUAUACUAAUUUGAAAAAUGUAAUUAUUUUACAAUACCACGUUUGGCCUUGUUAAUUCGGAAAGGUAAAUGUAGAUAGAGGAAACUUCAUAUAUUUUUAUGGCUUAGAGUUCCAUCCAGGAUCCCUCAUUAUAUUUAGUUGUCUUUGCUCCUUAGAUUCCAGAACACAAUUGUUUCUCAGUGUGCUUCUCAUUGACACUUUUUUUUUUUUUUUUUGGUAACAGGGAUUGAAUUUAGGGGCACUCCACCACUGAGCCACAUCCCCAGCCCUAUUUUGUAUUUUAGAGACAGGGACUCACUGAAUUGCUUAGUGCCUCACAAUUGCUGAGGCUAGCUUUGAACUUUCGAUCCUCCUGUCUCGGCCUCCUGAGCCACUGGAUUACUUGCUUGCACCACUGCUCCUGGCUUCUCAUUGACACUUGAAGAAUCCUGAUCUCUUACUUUUGUAGAAUGUCCCUUAUAUUUGGCUUGUGUGAUACUUACUUCCUCAUAGUUGAAUUUAGUAUAUACAUUUUGGCGGGGGGGGGGGGGGCUAAGAGUUUGCAGAAGUGAUGUACCCUGUCUGUAUAUCAUAAAAUCUCCUAUGGUUUAUUUUUCAUCUCUUGGUUCAGGUGUAAGUCACAUUGCUUUUCUGUAAAAUUAGUUUUGUAAUUAACAAGUAUUUUAGUGGAAAAUACUUAAAGACAAUGCAAAUAUCCUGUUUUCCAUUGUAUUCUCCUUCUUCUCGUCCUUCUUCAUUUUCUUGGUAGUGGGGAUUGAACCCAUGGAUGCUUUACCAUGAGCUACAUUCCCAGCCCUUUUUAUUAUUUUUGAGAAAGGUUCUCACUAAGUUGCUGAGACUGGCCCUAUUUUGUCAUCUUCUACCUCAGCAUCCUGAGUUGUUUGGAUUACAUGAAGAUAAUCACCAACAUGCCUGGGUCAAUUAUAUUUUCAGUGACUACUUUUAGUAUUAAUAAUUAUUACAUCCAAUAGUUAUUAAGAUGGUGUUUACCAAAUGCUCAUUAUAAGUUUAUACCAUUCUUUCUACAUCUACUAAUGAAAAUUCUACUGGAAAGAUGUGCUGUCCAUUUUCUCCUACUUGCUUAUUCAUUGACUGAUUUGUUAAUGAAUAUGAGCUCAUAGCUAUUUUACUCUGUGUUCUGUAGUUCACUCCUAUAGUAGUGUUGUUUGGGGAGGUGCUGGAGAGCUAAGCAAAGCCUACUGCUUGCUAAGCAUGUGCUCUACCUGUGGCAGUACUGAGCUACAUGUCAAGCCUCAGAUUGACUUUUUCACUUGCCACUUCAACCUCCAAUAGGUAAAACUAGGGCUGAUGGAUGGGGAGGUAGGAGGAAACAGCAUAUAGCACUAUUCGGAAGUAUUUCCUUAUUUCUCUAGAUAUCUAAGCAAAGGUAAAGAAUUACUUAAUGGAGGGAACUCAGUCUACCUUUGCCAUAAAGGUGAACUCCAUGUCCCUGAAGAUCUCUUAUAACUUUUGAGGUCCUUUUAGUAGUUUAAGCAGAAAAUACAUAUGGCUGCUUCCUAACUUCCUUAACUAGCAAAUUGUGUAGCAAGGCCUUUGCAUCAGAGGAUAUCUUGCUUCUGGUAUAUCUGUGACGUAAUUAGUAAGACCCAGCAAACACUCCAGGCAAAGGGUGUGGUAUGUAGAUGUCCACCCUAAAUUAUCUAUGUGUGCCAAUCUCAUGAAUUCCUCCACUUUCAGAUAGCUGGGUUUCUGGAUCUGCAACUCAACACAGACCUCAAGGUGACCUUUUCUGGAAUGUAUGAUGGAGAUUAUUUUGUUUUCUAAUACCAAGUACAUGACUGUGUAAAUCAUGCCUGCUGACACCUCAAAUUCUCUUUCAUUUCUUCCAAAUUUCAUCCUGUAUUUGUUCCCCCAGUCAUUUACAUAUCUUUCAUUUCAAUUCUAUACAUCUUGCUCAUUUCCCUAAUAAUUCCAAAAAGGAAUAUAAUAGUUUUAACAUGGUUUUAUUUUUUAAAAAAAAUUUUUUUUAGUCAUAGUCGGACACAAUACCUUUAUUUUAUUCAUUUAUUUUUAUGUGGUGCUGAGGAUCAAACCCAGCGCCUAGCGCCUGCUAGGUGAGCUCUCUACCCCUGAGCUACAACCCCCGCCCCCCCCCCCCCCAGCAUUUUAUUCUUAGUAUAUGGUUUUAUUUUGUUUAGUUGUUGUUGUUUUAAUGUCAGUGCUAAAAUUUUGCUCCUUUCUAGUAGCUUGUUGCAUUGAUCUGGUUUAUUACUGGCUCAACACUUGAUUUUUGAUUGGGUUUUCAGUUGAUGGUUAGUUAGAAGGUUUUAAAUUUUAUUUGAAGCUGCUCUAGCCAUAUUCCCUCAGUCCUGGCAAGAGUCUUUUGUUGACUGUGUUGAAUCCAGCUUCUGGGUUCCCUAGUUCCUGGACUUACUUUUUUCCAAGCUGAUUUGUCCGUAUCAGUUUUGCAAGUAAAAUACCAAGAGGCCUUGUAGGAAUUGCUUCAUUAUUAAUGUCCAAAUGUAUAACAUCUGCUGAAGAUUCCUCCUGCAGGAGCCUUGUGUUCUCAGAAGUCUCAUUUGUUUCCACUGCUGUCAUCUCAUUUGUUAGCAGCAUCAAAAUGACUUAAGAACAGGCCACAAAAGGCUCCUUGGCAACAUUCCAGAGAGGUACAGAAUAGAAAUGUUUUAGGGUCAGUUUGUAACUUUGUAAUUUAUAAAAGAGGUGAGAAAAUUCAACAGUAACAGAACCCUCAGUGUACACAGGCUAAGAACCCAUCUUUUUAUGAUGCUAUUUUUGUGUAUUUUGAUUAAAAAUUUAACAUUCAGUGGUAUUGGUCUUUACAACCAUUGUGAGUUGUAUGACCUUAAAAUUCAGUGUUCUCCUUUUUAAAUUAUACAAUACUAAUCUUUUGGAACUAUGGAAUUCAAAUUUUUUUCCUUUAUUGGAGAUUUAUGUUUUCGUUCUGGCCUUUUCUUUGAUUUAUAUUGUAUAAUACUUAAGAAUUUUAUAAGGUUUCUUGGUGUUGUUGCUUAUUUAUUUAUUUGUUUGUUUGUUAAAAUGUGGGUCUUACUAUAUUGCCCAGGAUGCUGUCAAACUCAUGUGCUCAAGUGAUGCUCCUGCCUCAGCCUUGGUAGCUGGGAAGAUAGGUGUGUCCUUGAAGGCAUUUUAUGCGGAAUUUAAAGGUACAACCCCAUAUUUUAAUUUGUUUAUAACUGUCAAAAGAAAUACUUAUAAGGAAGAAACUAAACACAGUGUCCUUCUUUAUGAUUGUAGCAAGUUAUAAUUUUAAUAAAUUUUGUAUAAUGCUUUUUAGUAGUUGUAAUAUGACUACUUUAUGUCUGCUGAUUUAUGUAUACAUGUGGGGAAUACAUCUGUAUCUAUAGAUAUAGGUAACAAAUAUAUAUUUUUAAAAAUAUUUUCAGUUAUAGAUGGACACAGUACUUUUUUUUAAACUUAUUUAUUUUUAUGUGGUACUAAGGAUUGAACCCAGUUUCUCACAUAUGCCAGGCAAGUGAGCCACCACAGAGCCACAGCCUCAGCCCCAAAUUAGAUAUAUUAUAUAUCCAGACAUUCAUAAAUUUAGAUGGAUAUAUUGAUAUAUAAUGUAUAGAUCUAUAUACAUAUAACGUAUACAUAUACAUAUAGAGAAAGCAUAUAUAUAUAUAUAUAUAUAUAUAAAUAUAAUGUAAUUUUUUUUGGAAAUCCUACGGAUAUAAUCAAGAGCUUUCUGUUCUAUCACUGAGCUGUGUCCCUGUCUCAUUUUUUUUUAAUAUUUAUUUUUGAGUUGUAGUUUGACACAAUACUUUUAUUUUAUUCACAUAUUUUUAUGUGGUGUUGAGGAUGGAACCCAAGGUCUUGCAUGUGCAAGUUGAUUGCUCUACUGCUGAGUCACAACCCCAGGCCCCACCCCCUCCACCCCCCACCCUCUCUCAUUUUUUAUUCUGAGACAUUGUCUCCCUAAAUUGCUUUGGCUGAUUAUGACCUUGUGAUCCUCCUACCUCCCCAGGAUUACAAGUCUGUGCCACAAUGCCUGGCAUGGUUUCAUGUUCAUAAGUGGCAUUUUCUUUGCCGUAUGAAAUAUAUGUAAAGAUUGUGGCAAUAGCGGCUGGGUUAUGUCAGUGGUAGAGCACUUGCCUAGAAUGUAUGAGGCCCUGGGUUCAAUCCUCAGCACUACAUAAAAAUAAAAUAAAGGUAUUCUGUCCAUCUGUAACUAAAAAUAUUUUUUAAAAAGAUUAUGGCAACAUAUAUUUUGGUGUUUUAUCUUAAGUAAUGUCAGUCUAGAAGAUAUGACAUUCUAAAUACUUGUUAUUAAGAGUCUUUUUCCUUCAUUGUAACCUGAAUUUGUUUUGGUCAGUUCACUUCACCACAUCUCAUCCAGAUGGAUCUGGUAUUAUAUUCUUAUAAUAUCUUUUCUUUUCUUUCUGACUUUAUGUGUGUGUGAUAUUGGGGUUUGAACUCAGGGCCUCAAACAUACUAAGCAAGGUCUCUGCCACUCAGUUACAUCCCCAACACCUACUUUUUUCUUUUAACUGGCAAUAGAGGCCAGAGGUACUAUACACUAGGCUGCAUUGCCAGGCUUUUGUUUUGUUUUAUUUUUCUUUUUUGGUACCAGAGAUUGAACCCAGGGGUGCUUAAUCCCUGAGCUUCAUCCCCAGCCUGUUUAUAUUUUAUUUUUAUUUUUAUUUAUUUUUUUUUUUUUGAGAGAGAGAGAGAGAGAGAGAGAGAGAGAGAAUUUUUUUUUUUUUUAAUAUUUAUUUUUUCAGUUUUUGGCUGACACAACAUCUUUGUUUGUAUGUGGUGCUGAGGAUCGAACCCGGGCCGCACGCAUGCCAGGCGAGCGCGCUACCGCUUGAGCCACAUCCCCGGCCCUUAUAUUUUAUUUUUAUAUUUUUAUAUUUUAUAUAGAGACAGGAUGUUGAUGAUUUGCUUAGGGUCUUGCUAAGUUGUUGAGGCUCCCAAGCCACUGGGAUUAUAAGUGUGCACCACUACCCUACGCCUGCCUCCUCAGUCCUUUUAUUUUUGAUUUUGAGACAGAGUCGCAUUAAAUUGCUGAGGCCUGCCUCAACUUUGUGCUCUUCCUGCCUCAGCCUUCUGAAUUUCUGAGAUUACAGGUGUGCAACACUGUAUCCAACUUGUUGAUUGUUUUUGUACUCUUGAUUUUUGGACUGUGAUCUCAACCUGUUGUGGUCUACCCCCUUUUCCAUACUGGAGAUUCAAUCCAAGGUAUUCUACCCAUAAACUAUAUCCCCAGCUUUUUACUUUUUAUUUUGAAACAAGUUCUCUCAAUUUGUCCAGGCUAGUCCUGAACUUGGUUUCCUCCUGCCUCAGCCUCCAGCCUCCAAAGUAACUUGGGUGUGGCCACUGUAUCCAACUUUUAUUGUUAUUCUGAUAAAUCAAGAAAUGUGGAUUUUAUUAAAGGCUGGAGUGAGACUCUGGAUUUAACCUAGUACACAUAAAAAAGUGGAGGGGGCCAGGGAAUUAAAUAAAGAAAGGAAAGUGAAUUUAAAAUAAUACGUAAAUAUAUGGAGGACAUCUAAAAGAAAUAAUGCAAGCUUGAUUUUGGUGUUUAUUUGUAAUCCAAGCUACUCAGGAAGCUUGGCCACAAAGAUCUAAAGAUUCAGACCAGUUUCAGCAAUUUAGAAAAGCCCCUUUUCCAAAUAAGACAUAAAAAAGAUUUGGGAAUGUUUCUCAGUGGUAGUGUCUCCCUCGGUUCAAUCCCCAGUACCAAAUAAAGUAAAUUAAAUGAUAUAACAUAAAAUAAAAGGGCAUGGAAGGGCUGGGGUUAUGGCUCAGUGGCAGAGCACGUGCCCCUCACCUGUGAGGUACUGGAUUUGAUCCUCAGCACCACCUAAAAAUAAACAUACAAAACAAAAGGGCAUGGAAUGUCUGUGGAUGUAGCUUUAUGGUAGAGAGUUUGCCUGGCAUUCAUGAGGUACUAUGUUCAGUCCCCAAUUGCAGGAAAGAAAGAAACAGAGAGGUGGGGGGUAGGGAACUAGAAAGAAAAAAAGAUGCAGAUUGUGUUUUUAAAAAAAUUAAUUUAAGGGGCAGGGUUGUGGCUCAGAGAUAGAGCCCUUGCCUGGCACAUGUUGGGUCCUGGGUUUGAUCCUCCUCAGCACCACAUACAAAUCAAUAAAAUAAAGGUUAAAAAAAAUUAAUUUGCUAAAUAUGGUGGUGCAUACCUAUAGUCGCAGCAGCUCAGAAGAUGAGGCAGGAGGAUUUACAGGUUUGAGGCCAGCGUCCCUCAGCAUUUUAUUUUAUUUUUAUUUUACCUGAAAAUAAAAAGGAUCAGGGAUGUAGCUUCCUGGUAAAAGCACCACUGGUUUCCAUAUCUAGUGUGGGGGGGAAAAAAAAGAAAAGAAAAAAAGGAAGAAGAUGAAAGCCAAAGGAUGAACAAAAGUUUCCCAGAGAAAUGUAAAUGAUAGAGUAUAUUUAGGGGUGUACAUAUUAAAGUUUGGUUAUUGCCCUCUGAAAAAAAUUUUUUUUUUUUUUUUUUUUUAAGAGAGAGAGAGAGGGCUGGGGAUGUGGCUCAAACGGUAGCGCGCUCGCCUGGCAUGCGUGCGGCCCGGGUUUGAUCCUCAGCACCACAUACUAACAAAGAUGUUGUGUCUGCCCGAUACUAAGAAAUAAAUAUUAAAAAAAAAAAAUUCUCUCUCUCUCUCUCUCACUCUUUCUUUAAAAAAAAAAUUUAAAAAAAAGAAAAAAGAGAGAGAGAAUUUUUUUUAAUAUUAAUUUUUUAGUUUUCUGCGGACACAACAUCUUUGUUUUUAUGUGGUGCUGAGGAUCGAACCCUGGCCAAACGCAUGCCAGGCAAGUGCACUACCACUUGAGCCACAACCCCAGCCCCCUCUGAAAAUUUAAACUUGAACCAUGACAGCAUAUCAGCUGUAGAUUUUUUUUUUAGUUAAAAAAAAAUUUUUUUAGUUGUAGUGGGCAGCAUGCCUUUAUUUUUAUGUUGUGCUAAGAAUCAAAUCCAGUCCCUCAUAUGUGCUAGACAAGCACUCUGCCACACAGCUUAUUUUAUUUCAGUAUGACAGUUUAAACAUGAUCAUGUUAUUUUAAUUAUUAUUAUAAUUAAUAUAACCAAACAUCUUUUCAUGGAAAAUUUAAUCUGGAUGUUGAGCCCAGGAAAGCUUUACCAGUGAACUUCAUCCCCAACUCCUUUUGUUUUUUAUUUUGAUUCAGGGUUUUGCCAAAUUGCUGAGGCCAGCCCUGAACUUCCAAUACUCCUGCCUCAGUUUCCACAGGUGCUCAGAUUACAGGUAUCCCUGUACCUAGCUAUGGGAAGUUUUUUUUUUUUGUCGUUGUUGUUCCAGGAAUUGAAUCCCCAGUGGUUCUUAAAUAUUGAGCCACAUCCCCAUCCCUUUUUUAUAUUUUGACACAGGACUUUGCUAAGUUGCUUAGGGCCUCUCUAAGUUGCUGAGGCUGGCUUUGAGCUCAUGAUCCUCCUGUCUCAGCCUCUGAGACACUGGGAUUAUAGACAAGUGCUACUGUGCCCAGCUAUGGGAAGCCUUUUAAUGUCAGAAUUUGGUGGAUAUAAUUUCCUGAAUUUAGUAACAACUUUUUAUGCUUGUAGAAUUUAUUAGGUCUUUAUAAUAGGACCAGAUAUCAGUUGAAAAAAUAGAAAAUAGAAAAGUGCUGAAAAUUAAAAAUACUGCUUUCUCCUCCACUUCUGUCCUUCCUUGUAGUCACCCAAUAACUAGUGUCUUCUGUGCCUUUUCAUAUAUUAGGUGUACAUUUAGGUAUAUACCAAUCCUCACCCCUUUUUCUGCAAACACAGAAGUUGUUUUCCGUACAUUUUUUCAUCUUUCUAUUUUCACGAUUUGUUUGAACUAUUCGCCAUUUUAGUACAUAGUAUUUUGAUUGGCUGCAUGGAAUCGUAUAGGGUAGACAUACCAUAGUAUCUUUUUUUGAGGAGGGGGUACUGAUUUUGAACUCAGGGGCACCACUGAUCCACAUUCCCAACCCUAUUUUGUAUUUUAUUUAGAGACAGGGUCUCACUGAGUUGCUUAGUGCCUCACCUUUGCUGAGGCUGGCCUUGAACUCAGAAUCCUCCUGUCUCAGCCUCCAGAGCUGCUGGAUUACAGUCCUUCGCCACUGCACUGGGCCCAUAGUAUCUUUAUUCAUUCAUUCUUGCUUAGUAUUGAAAUGUUUGUUCUUAUAAUGCAAACCAAAUAGAUCAUGAGCAAAUAUAUUUAUUCAGUCCAUAGUUUUAUUAAUAAGUAGUCUAAAUCUGGAAAUAUUUUCAAUGAUUAGGUAUAAUAACAAGAGACAAUAAGAUGAAAUUGUAGUUAUUGGGGGAAUAAACGGUUGAAAAAACAGACUAGAACUAUAUUCAUGAUUGGAAUGUUCUAAGGAGCCAGGUGAAACAGGACUAUUGUAUCAAAUUUCUGCCACCUAGUUAGAAAGAGACCAGAAGGCCUAGUUAUGGAGAAGGAUGUUGUAUACUGUCUCAAAUAUGGUGGGUGAUGGAGUCAGCCUAGGGAUCCUUAUAUCUACCCCUCACCUCAAAGUGGUAAAUGGAUACCACACCUUUAUUACAUUUGUUUUUUUUUUAAUUUUUUAUGUUGAUGAGUCUUUAUUUUAUUCAUUUAUUUAUAUGCGGUGCUGAGAAUCCAACUCAGUGCCUCACACAUGGUAGGCAAGCACUCUACCACUGAGCCACAAACCCAGCCCUAUUUCAUUUAUUUUUAUGUGGUGCUGAGGAUGGGACCCAGUGUGUCACGUGUGCUAGGUGAUUGCUCUUCCACUGAGUUAAUCACCUAGCCCAAUGCUUAGGUCUUGAGACAUUUUUGAAGUGGGCAAUAAAAGACUAGAACUGCUGUGGGUGGUGGCAUAUGCCUAUAGUCCCAGCAAUUUGGGAGAUUGAAUCUGGAGGAUCCUAAGUUUGAGGUUAGUCUUGGCAAUUUUGGCAGGCUUUGUCUUAAAAAAAAAAAAAAAAAAGACUGUGGAUAAAGUGAGUGGUAAAGUUUCUUUGGGUUCAAUCCUUAGUACAAAAAACAAAAUGAAGAAUGCAAUGUUUGUUACAAAUGUUUGAACACUCAUAUAGAGUUUAAAAACAUUCCUGUUUGAGCCAUUGUGGAAAGUCUAUGUGUUUUCCCCAUUUAAACUCAAUUUAUUUAUUUAUUUAUUUGUUUGUUUAUUAAGAUAAACUCCAAGGCUUGGCAGUGUUGCUCAGUGGUAGAGCAUGUACUUAUGUAUGCUUAAAAUGGAAAUCAUCUUCAGCACCUAAAAAUUAAAAUAAAAACUGGUACAGUGGUACAUGCCUGUAAUCCCAGAAACUUGGAAGGUUGAGGCAGAAGAAUAGCAGAUUUGAGCAAUUUAGGGAGACCCUCAGCAACAUUGUGAGACCCUGUCCCAAAACAAAAGGCCUGAUGAUGCAGUUCAGCAGUAAAGUACCUCUGGGUUUAAUCCCUAGUCUGAAAAAAUAAUAAUAAAAUUAAAAUAAAGUAAACAUCCAAUUUUUUUAUUAAAAAAUUUCCAAACAGAUCUAGAGAAUCCUAUAAUAAACAUUACUAUAUCCAUUAUCUCAAGUCAGCAAUUGUCAUUUGUAGGUAUGAACCUUUGGAAAGUACAAAGUAACAUCCUUAAUGUUAAAUUUCUUACUGAUAAGAGCAUUCCACACAAUCUUGCCAUUAUUGGGAUUCCAUGCUAUUUUCUAAUAUCCUCUUAGACCCCAAAUAAAACAAUUUGGAGCCUAGAGAACAACCACCAAGGCUUGACCUCUAGGGACUAAAGUCCAGAUUGUGGAGAAGGCAUUGCAAACAAGUAAGUGUACUCAAUUGAUUUGAUAAAGAUCUGUGUAGAAAUAGUAAAGGAAGAAGUGUUUAGUUUUAUCUGAGUGAGCCUGGUUAAGAAAUGACAGAGUUCUCUGGUUACCUUUUGUCCAGUUCUGGAGAGAUGAAUAGGGCCAUUUGGGGCUGAUUAGAGGAGGGAGGGUUUAAAGGCUAAAUAAAGGGCAUUCUAGGUUGAAGUUUUUCCUUCCAAUAAGCUACUUAAAAUAGCCAGGGAGCAUUCAGCAAGAAUGUUGGGAGGAGCUGGUGUGGGGAUACUGAUGUGGCAAGUCUGUAAAAUUUGCAAUUGUAGGGCUUGCUUGCUUUGCUCUGGGGAAUGGUGGUUCUUGAAGUUACCUUACCUGUUCAAAUUUUUAUUUUUCUUUUCUUCCUUCCUUCCUCCCUCCCUCCCUCCCCCUUCCUUCCUUCCCAGCUUCACUCUUUCUUCUUCUUUAUCUUUUUUCCCCCCUCUGUCUUAAUCUACCUACAUUUCUACUUACCUUCCUACCCAGGGCUUCAAACAUGCUAAGCCAGGACUCCCUCACUGACCCACAUGCCCACUCGCCUACCUAGUUUUUGAAUCUUUAUGGUGUUUUUACCUCUGGACCAAACUGGAGGAAGCAUGGCAUUCUGGGCUGGCACCAUCCGGAAAUUUUAGCUUUUUAGGAGGUUGAGGAAUGAGAAUCUUAAAUUCAAGGCCAGCCACAGCAAUUUAGUAAGGCCCUGUCUCAAAAAAUAAAAAGAGAUUACAAUGUAGCUCACUGGGAAAGCACACCUGGAUUCCAAUAUUUACAACUUGAGUAGAGGUAGUGGUGGGGGUCAGGCAUGUCAACAAAGGGGACCAUUCAGGGGCUGUUUUAAAAUCUGGUUUUCUAAAAUCUGAAAGUUCAUUAAAUUUGUCACCCCAGGACAUUGGUGAACCUUGAGCAGUUUUAAUAUAGUGGUGGGGAAAAAUAUCUAAUUAUAGUGGAUUAUUAUUAAGCUCGAUGGACAGAUGGUCAUUACAUAAUUAUUUGGAGAUGAUUAAUUAUCAAAUGAUGUAGUUGCAUAGGGUGGGAGCUAAUUUUUAUUGGAAAGUUAUGCUGGCCUCAAACUUACCAUCCUCCUGUCUUCGCGCCCCCCCCCCCAGUAGAAGUGAUCAAUUGCUUGUGUCACUGAGUUUCCAAAAAAAAAAGUUUGUUUAAAGAAAAAAAAAUUUUGUUUGCUUAAGAUAGAUAAGACUUGAGUUUCUUAUACUCUGUAGGAAUGAAGCCAGGAAAGGAAGAUUUAUAGAUCUCAAAACUUUGGCUCUCUGAUUUUUCUUUUCUAUGUAAACACCUCUGUGCACAUCAUCACCAGCCAAGUGCUGAUGGAGCCUAUGUUCUUAGAAAGCCAAGAUAGAAAAGGACAUUAUUUUUCUCUUUAAGGAGAAAGUUGAUUUUAAGGAGAAGGUGGCUGGCUAUAGACUCAAGGUCCUGUGGGCAUUAUGGAAAGUCCAAACCUUUCUUUGAUGCCUUGUUUAAGAAUUAACUCCUUAUCUAAUGACCUUUUGGAUGGAAUUAGGCAAGGUCCAGGAACAUUAUCUUUAAUCUGGGGAGCAUUCCAGACAGGAGAGAUAGAGACCAAACCUUAGUGGGAAAACAGGAUUUGUCUGGGAAUGAAUUUCUAGAAAUCUUAAGAAGCUGUGCAGGUAUAUUUUUAAAGACAGGGUCUUCAGGAUCUGUGAGGAUAGCUCCGUGAUAUAGCACUUCCCUAGCAUGAGGGAUGCCCUGGGUUUGAUCUCUAAAAAUGCAAAAUUGAAGAAAACAAAAUAUGGAGGUUGGGGCUGGUGUUAUUUAUACCUAUACCAAUGUAUAUCUAUAUUAACCCUAGCUAGUUUGGGAAGCUAAAGCAGGAGGAUCACAUGAGGCCUGGAGUUAAAGACCAGUUUGGGCAACAUACCAAGAUUUUCUUUAAAAAUAAUAAUAAUAAUAACAACAAUAAUAAACUGGGUCUUGGGAAUUUGUCUUUUAUGGUGAGUCUAUAUAAGUUGCAUUUGUAAAACUAGUGAGAUUGAAAUUUUGUCACUGAGUUAGGUAAUCUGGAAUAUGUAGGUUUUUUUUUUUUUUUAAAGAGACAGAGAGAAUUUUUUAAUAUUUAUUUUUUAGUUUUUGGUGGACACAACAUCUUUAUUUUUAUGUGAUGCUGAUGAUUGAACCCAGCGCCCGGUGCAUGCCAGGCUAGUGCGCUACUACUUGUGCCACAUCCCCAGCCCAUGGAAUAUGUAGUUGUUUUAAUUUGUUUACUGUUUGCUUCUACUAUUACAUCUUUAAAUACGAAUAUCUCCUAAUUAUAAAUUGAAAAUUUUAGGAAAAAGAUAAAACAUGAGGGAUAUCCAGAAAUAAUGAGGGUUAUAGUCCAAGAAAAACUUGACCUUUUACUACCUCCUCCAGGAUCAAUGUCCAUAUAGGCUUCUAAACUUGCUGACUUUCCUGAAUAACUUGGUAUGUACUCUCUCUGAAUAUAUUGACUUUGGAUAUAAGGUGCCAGUAUUUUGAUGAGCAGUGCUAUUGUGCCACUACUCAGAAUUAAUGUACUUUUACAAAUUGUUGAAUUAAAAAGCAUUGAGGACUGGGUAUAUAGCUCAGCUGGUAGAGUGCUUGCCUCACAGGCACCAGCACCACCCCCCAAAAAAAAAAAAAAAGGAAAAAAAAAGGCAUUGAGUUCAGAACAAUAAUUCCCAUAAUCUAAGAAGCCACUAAAAAAAAUUAUGUUGUUCUAAGUGUCCAUUGUAAUCUUAAACUUUGUUAAUUAGUACCAAAUUGAACUUGUUGUAAUUGUUCUCCUGCAUUGUUGCUUUUUUUGGGGUGGGAGGGGUGAAUGAAUCUUUGUUUUUAUUUAUUUAUGUUCAUUACUGAGAAUUGAACCCAUGCCUCCACAUGCUAGGCAAGCACUCUAUCACUGAACCACAACUGCAGCCCCUUUUAUUUUUAUGUAUGUAUUUUUGUGGUACUGGGGAUUGAACCCAGGGUCACUCUACCACUCUACCACUCUACAUCUCCAGACCUUUUUAUUAUCAUUUUCAAACAGGGACACACUAAGUUGCGCAGAAUGUCUUCACACUUGCUAUCCUCCUGCCUCAAUCUCCCAAACUGCUGGGAUUAUAGGCAUGUACCAUUAGCUGAAUCUUCUUUAUAUUAGGAUUGCAGAAAGGUCUGUCCUUGUCCCCAUGCCAAUCCAAUAAUGAAGACAGGGUUUUGAGAAAAAGGAAAAAGGUUUGUUGCUUUUCCUAAAGCAGUGGUUCUGCCCAUCCACAGGAACUGGGGGGAUUUUAGAGAGAUCAUUCAAGGGCUAUAUUCCAAGUCUUCUCUACCCUGAAGUUGUAAUUCACUUGUUAAUUUGGGUGAUAGUCCUGUCAGUGAUCUUCUGAUACCAUCCCCAAAGUCUGAAUUACUUGUUCCUUGGGGUAGGUGUAUGCUUAAGGACAGAUAACUCUGCCUAGGGUGAGGAAGAAUGGUUGAGUUUCUCCUGAGAUUGGGGAGUGGGAGAGAUUAGACAAUAAGGAGGAGCAGGGAGAGAGGAAGAGAAAUAAAUGUCCAUUUUCAAAAUAAAUUGCAGUGACAGAGCAGCAAGGGCUAUAUUCAAAACAAAAAUUGGACACCAGCCAUAGUGCACAGGCCUAUAAUCCCAGCAACUAAGGAGGCUGAGGCAGGAGGAUCACAAGUUCAAAAUCAGCCUCAGCAAUUUAGUGAGGCCCUCAUAACUUAGUGAGACUCUGUCUCAAAAUAAAAAUGCUGGGGCAGUGGCUCAGUGGUAAAGCACCCCUAAGUUCAAUCCCUUGUAUCCACCCACCUCCCCCUUCUCAAGAAAAAGGGGGAAAACCUGGAGCAAGGAUUUGCUCUAGGAUAUAUGGGUAUAAAGCAUGAAACUGGGAGUAUACUCAACGCUUGUUUGAUUCCAGCAAAACCCAUAUUCUUAAAUAUAUAUAUAUAUAUAUAUAUAACAGGCCAAGUGACUGUGGCUGGAGAAUUUCAAGUUCAGGGCCACCCUGUGGGAUUUAUCUAGAUUUAUCUAAGAAACGAAAAGAAAAAUCAAGAACAACCAACAAUAAAAAAUUAAAAAAAAAUAAAUAGAAAGAAUGAAAAAAAUCAUAUAUGUAUAAUGGAACAGUUAAGGCAUUAAAAAAAGGUGGAAAGAUUAACACAGGGAAUGCUGUAGAGGGCUGUUAACCUUGCAAAUGGGUGAAACUGAUCUUGAGAAGACAGAAGAAUAAAAAGGAUUAGACUUCACUUUGGAGUCCUCUAGGGGUAGGUUGGAGAAAACACACCUACAUAGGGGACCUGAAGUGUGGGUGAAGCUCUAGGGAACACCAAGGCUUUAGGGUUUUUUAUUCUAUAAAGACCAAGUCUAUAGUAUCUAAGGACUUUGACAACUGAGAAAGUCAUUAAGAUAUUUGAAUAAAAAGGGAAGAUGCUAGGAUGAUUGCCAAAGUUGUGCAGAUUUAGGUUCUUCUUCUUCUUCUUUUUUUUUUUUGAGAGAGAGAGAGAGAUUUUUUUAAUAUUUAUUUUUUAGUUUUCAGCGGACACAACAUCUUUGUUUGUAUGUGGUGCUGAGGAUGGAACCCAGGCCAUACGCAUGCCAGGCGUAUGGCCCGGCAUCAAUAUUUGAAAUAUUGAUUCUAGAUUUUGAAUCAAUAUUUCAAUUUACACUGUCUAUGCUUUAGAACCCUUUUUCUCUAUUAACAUACUGCCCCUCUUCCAGCCUCCCUUCACUCCACCCUUGAGUUAAUAAAGGACUUUGGAUUUAAAGAUCCAGUGGCUAGAUUAGGGUGGAGUUUUUGUUGGGUGUUGCCAUGAAAAAAAAAAAACCUGUAGUGAAUAAAAAAGAAACCUGUAGUGAAGGGGAAGUGGGAAACUUCUCUAGUUUCCACUGUAGCUCCCAGAAGGUCCAGGCAUAGAAAAGUCACAGAAGGUGGGGUGAGUGAAGAUCCUGUACUUUUCUUUGACUCCAACUAAGUGGGUUCAGCUGCUGAUUAUGGACAGAGUAGAGAGAGAUGAAAGAAUAUUGGGAUAAGAAAAGUUGAUAAAGUAAGUGGCUGGAAUUGAUCAUGGAAAAUGAGGUAUCUUUUUUGCAGGUUUAGUUUGAAAGAUAGUUUUGGUUUUGGUUUUGCCUUAGACGUUCAUUUUAUAUUUUUGGUACUGGAGAUUGAACCCAGGAGUGCUUUGCCACAUCCCCAGCCCCUUUUAUUUUUUAUUUUGAGACAAGUGUCUCAUUAAGAUGCUUUGGACAUUGCUAAGUUGCUGGGCCCAGCAGUGAACUUGGAGUUCAUCCUCUUACCUCAGCCUCCCCAGUCACUGUGAUUAUAGGUGUGCAACACUGCAGCCAGUUUAUUUAUUUAUUUAUUUUUUUUGAGACGGGCUUUUAGUAAGUUUCAGAGACUAACCUUGGAUUUGUGAUUCUUCUGCUUGAGGCUUUGGAGCCACGUAUUCAUUUUAGAAUUCUUCUCAUUUUAGAAUCUUUAGGUAACCCUUUGGGUACCUGCUUAAUCUUUCCUUUGCCUUUUGGGGGCCUGGGCUGUGGGUAUUGGGAAUGUAGCCCAGUGAAGCUUGUUGAGCUAUGUUCCCAGCCCUUUUUAUUUGUUUUGGUAAAUUUCUAAGGUCUUUGCUAAAUUAGGGAGACUGUCCUUGAACUUGCAUCAUCCUGCCUCAGCCUCCAGAGUUCUUGGGAGUAAAGGCAUGUUCCACCACACCAGCUUUCCUUUGCUUUUAAAUUUGGUUUUCUUAGAAAGCUCUAUUUCAGUAUUAAACAGGGUUGUGAGUGUAGCUCUCUCCUAGCAUGCCUCUGGGUUCAAUUUCCCAGUACUACCAAAAAGAAAUAAAAAUGAAAAACUCUUGCUUCUGGGCUGUGGUUGUGGCUCAGUGGUAGAGCGCUCACCUAGCACGUGUGAGGCUCUAGGUUCGAUCCUCAGCACCACAUAAAAAUAUAUAAAAAUAAACAUAUUGUGUCCAACUACAACUAAAAGUAUGUAUUUUUCUUAUGUAUUCUUGCUUCUAACCUUCCUACUGUCAACAUGACAACUAGUAUUUCUUUUUCUUUUUUCUCUGCAUACUAGGUAAUAGUUUCUUUUGUAUGUGUGUGUGUGUGGGGGGGCGGUGCUAGGGAUUGCAUGGGAGGCAAACACUCUACCAAUUAACUGAGCUAUAUCCCCAGCCCUUCCUUUUAAUUUUUUUUUUCUAUUACACAGGCUUUAUGUUCUAUUUAUUUUUGGUGCUGAGAAUUGAACCCUAUGACCCCAGCUUGCUAAUCAAGUGUUCACUCCCAAGCUGCUUCUCCUUCCCCUACCAGACUCACUUUUUCCUUUUUUUUACAGUAUCUAACAUCAAGCCCUCUAUCACUAUAGUACAACCCCAGCAAUUUUUCUUUUCUUCUGAGGGAGUAUCUUGCUAAGCUGCUUAAUUUUUUUUUUUUUUUCAGUUUUGCAAUUAUUCUGCUUCAGCCUUCCUACCACCUGGGGUUAUAAGCCUGUGCCAAACCAGCGCUGGGUUCAGCCCUCAGUUUUUAAAGUACCAGUGUAUCCUGGACAACUUUGCAUAUUAGCAAUGGGAAAUUUUUUUUAACAUAAAUUUUUUGAAAAUAAAUUUUAGUUGUAAUUGGACACAAUACCUUUUUAUUUUCGUGUGGUGCUAAGGAUCAAAUCCAGUGCUUCACACUUGCUAGGCAAGUGCUCUACCUCUGAGCCACAACCCCAGCCCAUAGGAAUGGAAAUAUUUUUACUCUUUUGCGGCUACAUAGUACUAUGUAGGCAUCACAAUCUACUUCCUAUAAAUGAACAUUUGGAUAUAUUUAAUCAUUUGUUAUAAUAACCUUCAAAACAUUAUGUACAUAUAUAUAUAUAUAUAAAAUGCUUUUACAUGUAUAUUAUUUAUAUAAAAUACACUGUCAUUAUGUACAAUUUUAACAGUACAAUACAUCUUCAAAUUUGAAAUUGUUAUGUUACAGGAUAAAUUGCAAAACUCAGGAACUUGAGAUGUAGUUCAGUGUUAGAGUGCUCAUGCAGUGUGCAUGAGGCCCUGGGUUUGAUCCUGUCACUGCCAAUAAAUAGUUUUACUUCUUUUUGUUUUAUUUUUGUUUUAUUUUUGUUUCUGGUACUCAGGAUUGAACUCAGGUCCUCAUGUAUGUUGUACAAGUUCUCUACCACUCAGCUACACUCUGAGUCUUCCUUUCAAAAUUAUUUUUCUAUAAUUAACUAUUUUUUUCUUGUGGUAUUGGGGCCUUGUACAUGCUAGGCAAACACUCUUUAUCACUAAGCUACAACCACAGUCCUCUCCCUGUUGUUUUUGUUUUGUCUUUAAUUUGAAGACAAGGUCUCCAUAAAUUGUCAACAUCUCAAACUUUGAGAUCCCUCCUGCCUCAGCGUUCCAAAUCACUGGGUUUGAGUUAUCAUGCCAGGCCUAGAUUAUUAACUUUUGACCACACCUGAACUUGAAUUCCCCACCCUACAGAGAUAUCAUAGGCACCCAGUUGCAAUAUAAACAGCAGGUAUCAGAAAAAGAUUAACCAUGUAAGAACACACAUGCACACACAUUUAAUAGAAUGCUUUUGUAAUUCAGUGGUUACUUUUGAGAAAACAGAAAAAGGAAAUAUAAUUGGCUUCCACCAAAAUGGAAUCCACCGACCUGUUUUCUAUAUAUGUAUUUACUUACUUAUUUUGUGUAUAUCAUAAGAUAUUGAAUCCAGGGAUGCUUUAACAUGAAGCUGCUUCCCCAGCCUUUUUUGUUUGUGGGGCCUAGGGCCUUACUUGAUUGUUUGGGCUGGCCUUAAACUUGUGGUCCUUGUCCCUCAGCCUCCUGUAGCUCCUGUGCCAUAGCGACCUGCUCACAAAACUGUUUUCUAAGUCUUACUUUAAUAGAUGGCUGUGUCAAGGCAUGUUUUCACAUAUUUACAGAUCUAUGGCACCUAGUGUUUUAAAGUGAUGGAAUAAGCUUAGUAACAAAGUUCUGCUGUUUUUAAUUCAACUCAUUAAUUAAUAUGAAUUUGUUAUGAAGAUCUUCUGGUACAUAAUUCUUAAAAGAACUUCAAUAUAUCAUUGUUGGGCAAUGUAUCCUCAGUGUACUUAGAUAUGCAUAUCUGUAAAAAAGAAAAAUGAAACUCCCCAUUUUCAGUUCCAUUUUGCAGUGAUAUAAGUAGUGUUAGCAUUUUUGGUUUUAUCUUACUGGUGUUUCAUCUGGGCUAGAUAAAUGUUCAUGAGUCUCACAAGAAAAGGGAUGAUAACAUCAUAUCUGCACUUGUUUAUUUCAUUACUGUUACAUUGUAGGUGUCAAACCCCAUGCUACCCCCACCACCUUGUGUUGGUGAUCAAAGCCAGGGUCUUAUCUAGUGUGCCAGCCAAGUACUCUUACCACUGAGCUAUGUCCUCAGCCUAUUAAUUUUAUAUGUAUUGAGGAGGACUAUCUUUCCUUACUCAUCUUUGUGUUUGUAGGUGUUGUAAAUUUUACACGAAAUUCACAUUUUUGUUUCCAUAAAUAGUUUUACUGGAAUAGAGCCACAUUUUUUUUUCUCCCAAAUUAUCUGGCUGUUUUUUCCCCCCAUUAUAACAGGAGUAGUUGUAAUGGAGAUGUAUGGGCUAUAAAGUCCAAAAUGUUUAUUCUCUAUCCUUGACAGGAAAAGUUUUCUGAACUCUGAUAUAAGCCAUGUCUAUUUUGGCAAACUGACCAUCUGUUUAUCCUGAAACCUCUUUCCUUUUAAACAAAUACCUUUGUUUCAAAACAAUUGUAGUGCUUGGAGCAGUGGUGCAUGCCAGUAAUCCCAUUGACUCUGGAAGGCUGAGGCAGGAAGAUCACAAGUUCAAAGCUAGCCUUAGUGAGACCCUAAACAAGGUAGAUGUAUCUCAAAAGUAUAAUGUAAACUUUGAAAAUAAGCAUAAGAAAUCUAUGAUGUGCUGGGUCCAGUGGUACAUGCUUGUAAUCCCAGAAGUUUGGGAGGUUGAGGUAGGACAAUUGCCAGUUCAAGGCCAGCCUCAGCAAUUUAAUGAGGUCCUAACCCUGUCUCAGAAUACAGAAUGAAAAGGAAAGGGGUGUAAUUCAGAGUCAAAGAAUCCGUGUUUCACUCCCCAGUACCAAGAAAGAAAAGAAAGAAGUCUAUGAUCUUACUUAUCUGGACAAUAUUUAUCUGUUGAAGGCUGAUUGAAGACAGGACAGAGGAGUUUCUUGCUUAAGAACUGGGUACAUCACUAUUCAUUUUGUGAAAAUUCAACAAUUAGGAUUUGUAUUGUUUUUGUAUGUAAGGUUUUUGUCAAUUCAAUUAGAAUUUAAAUGAUUGAUAUUGCCCAUUGAAUGAAGCCAAUAUUAAAUAUUUUAUAACUACAUAUGGAAAAAGGAAUGGAUGUUUGUUUAGAAGACAUGUGAUUUUGAUCUGUGUGUGGUAGCACAUACCUAGAAUCCCAGCACCUCAGGAGGAUUGAAAGUUCAAAGCAACAAAGAUUUGUUGAGGACAACAACCAAGUGAGACUCUGUCUGAAAAUUGAAAAUAAAAAGGAAUGGAGAUUUGGCUCAGUUGUUAAGUGCCUCUGGGUUUAAUCCAUGCUACCAAAGAGAAAAGAAAAUAGACAUGAAGUUUUGACAUUAAUCUGCAUGAUAUUAUGAUAGUUUCUAAUUUUUUUUCUCUCAUCCUGUAUUCUACUUUUUGGUAUUUUAUGACUUAUCUGAAUGUAUGAAAGGCAGAAAUAAUAAUCUUUUAGGUUAUAUCCAUAGAGACUUCACAUUUCGUUGAUAUUAAAUUAUAAAGUUCCUUUUGUUGUAACUUUGAUAUUUAAGUAGUUAAUACGGGUAAUUUCUGUAUUUAUUUUACAGGUAGAUUUUGACAACAAAUCAGUAAAUGGCCCGAAGUCAGAAUCCAUGGAAUUCAGCAGAUGUGGUUAUGGGGAAGAAAAGAGUUUGGAAUUGAAUACACAUCCCCUUGAAAAUGUAACUAAAAAUGAAGAAAGCAUGACAGGUAUCAAGGUGGAGAGGUGGACACAAAACAAGAAAAUACAUUUAACAGAUCAGGUCAAAGGAGAAAGUGUAACAGAGGCUGAAAAAUCAAAAAACUCUGAAGAUGAUAAGGAAGAAAUUAAACCUCCUAAGUUGUUUGUACCAACAAUAAGUAAUGGCAUUACAAAUGUACAGUGUUUACCAAGUGAAACAAAUGUGUCAUUUAACAAAUUUAAUAUUGAAGAAUUUGAUAAGUCAUUGGAAAACAAUCCCUGUAAAUUUUUGAAAGAUACUGCCAAUCAUAACAAUGCCAUGAGCUCUAUUCCUUCUAGUGCAAGUGGUGGUCAUCUCAAGGGGAAGAGUCAUAUGUUACCCUUCCCACAGCCUGGCUUUAACUGCAUAUUCGUUGAAAAUUCUGCAAACUUAAAUACUCAUACUAAUGCAUACAAUGAAGGUGAUCAACCAAAACCUCCUGAGAACAUACCACGUAAAGAAACAAAAGAUGGGUCUCCAGUUACAUCAUGUAUUUUAUCCAUGAUGCAAGAUAGGAAUUUAACUAUAGAACAAUUGGUCGCCAUAGAGGCCCUCACACAACUAUCAGAAACCCCAUCAGAGAAUUCUUCACCAUCGAAGUCAGAGAAGGAUGAAGAAACAGAUCAGACAACAGCUUGUUUCCGUAAUAGUUACAAAGUUAUCCUCUAUUCUGUAACAAAAGACCUCAAUGACCCAAACUCACCAACCCUUCAUAACUGUCCACCUCUCCAAAAGGAAAGUUCAUGCAACACAGUAGUGUUCAAUGGCCAAAAUACCAUGUCCAAGUCACAGCACAGCUCAGCCACUAACCAAGCAUCUGCAGAACCACAUGAACAUUCAAAAGUAUCAAAUUCAGACUCCCUUUUUUCCCCAAAAUCAAAUUCAUCUAAUAUUGAUACCAAUAAAAGUGCAUUGGAAGGCAGAACUAGUGACUUGCCUCACUUGUCGCCAAGAAGUAAUAAAUUGGAGCAAUCUAACCAGUUAUUGGACAGUAAUAAAAGUUUAAAUUCAAAAGAUGAUCCAUCAAGUCAAGAUGUAUCCUACAGUCAAAUUGAAGAAGAUGUUGCAACACAAUUAACACAACUUGCAUCAAUCAUUAAUUUCAACUAUGUAAAACCAGAGGAAAAGAAUAUUGAAAGUACCCCAACCAGCAUUGUUCCAUAUAACGUGCAGCAAAAAAUUAGUCAGGAGAAGGGCACAAUUCAACAGAAACCACCACCAAGUGUGCAAAAUAAUCAAGCUCCAUCAUUACCAAAGCGAAAGAACACAACCCAGAAAAAGACAAAAUCUAUCCCAUCAAGAGAUCGUCGGAAAAAGAGGCCUCUGGCUAUAAACUGUCAAGAAAACGAGCAGAAGCAGCAGGAGCAGUUGUCCUAUGAGUAUAGUAAGUUACAUGAUAUUUGGGUAGCAUCCAAAUUUCAAAGAUUUGGUCAAUUUGGGUCACAUGAUUUUCCUAUUCUGCUGGGGAAAAUUCCUCAUUUUGGUAAAGUACUCAAACCACUGACUCAAGCCAGUUUAUCCCUACAACAGAAAAAAUUAUUUCCUCCACUCACUCAGAUAAAAUUUGAGAGAUACACUGAAUCAGUACAGCAAAAAAUGAUGAAGGUUGAACCAUUGGAUUCUCUCCCAUUAUUUCCUAACAAAACAGAAUCUGAUGGGCAGCAGUUUACAGACAAAGCUUGUAAUUCUCAGGUACAGUCAACAGUGAAUGUCAAUCAGAAAGCUCAUCUUUUGCCCCUGGCCUCCUUUCCACCUAACCAGUGUGCUAAUGUGAUGGCUAUUGAUGACCAAACACAGUUUCAAGAAGAUGUUCAAGAGAAUCUUGUGCAUCAGAGACUGACAACAUUGCCUGGUGUCUGUUAUGAGACACCCUUACCAGACCCUGCACAUAUUCUCAGGAAGGUAAAUGCAGGAAGUUCAGGAGGAAUUAGAGUGGUUUCUAUCAAAACUGAAGAGACGGUCUGUUCAUCUAGUGUUGAAACAUUAGAUUUUUCAAUGGUAGAUGGUGUACAGACAAGUUUUAAUAAUGCCGUGAACUUUCUUAGUAACCCUGCAAAAAAGCUGGCGGCUGCAACAAAAGAAUCAGAAGCUCCGGCUUGCAACUGUCUUGGUAAGUGCUUGUGUAGAUGUGUUCUUUCUUCUGCAGAAAUGGUCACACGUCCUGACAGACUCGAUGAAUCCUGUCUGAUUCAUUGAAUAGUAUUCUUUCCCCCAUAGGUAAGGUGGACUAAAUAAUUCUGUACCCAUUUUUCUGUUAGACAUUUAAUCCAUUCUGCUGAGAAAAGACAGAUAUUUCAACUCAUAGUGCAGAAAAGUAAAGGUAAACUUUCUCUCCAAGCAAAUGUCUCAAGUUGCUGGACAUGAUGGCACAGACCUAUAAUCCCAGCGAGUGAGAGAGGAGGAUUACAAGUUCAAGGUCAGCCUCAGCAACUUAGUGAGACCCUAUGUCAAAAUAAAAAAGGUCUGGGAAGUUGGUAAAGGAUUCUGGGUUAGAUUCCUCAGAACAGCAUCAAAAAAAAGGUCUCAAGUUUAGUGUCAUAGCCUAAGAAGGAUUUCUUUAAUACUUUAUUAAAGACUAAUUGUUCUCCCAAUAUUUAGAAGAAUUUUGACUUACGAGGAUUUCAUUAAAAACUUUUUCUGGUUAGCUAGUACGUGCAUACAGAGAAUAUAUAGAACUUAACAAAUAACUAUACAAAGUCUCAUCUACUUAAGAAUGGUUUAAUUCUUUUUCAGCCAGGUUCUAGUGCUUCUCUAUUUUGCAACUGAAAAUGUGUAUCCAGGUAUUAAGAAAUUCUUUUAUGUUAGUUACUUUUAGAAUUCAUAAGUCUUUUUGAGUUUUAAUGUAUUUUAAUACUUAUUCUGCAGAUAUUAGUUUUCUAUUUCAGUGGAUAAGUUUGUCCUAGUAGGGGGGGUCACAGUAUAUUUUGUGCCUUAGGAGUCAUUGAAAGAGAAUAUUGAGAAAUUAAUAAUUUUUUUAUUAGUACUAGGCAUUGUUAGUAACGAUGCAUACCACUGAGCUACAUCCCCAGCCCUUUUAAUUUUUUAUUUUUACACAGAGUCUCACUAGUUGCUUAUGGCCUUGCUAAAUUGCUAAGGCUGGCUUUGAACUUGCCGUCCUCCUGCCUCAGCCUCCCUGAGCUGCUGAGAUUACAGGCAUGUGCCACCACACCAGGCUUCAUUUUUUUUACUUUUCUGUAGUGGGACAGUGUCUCACUAAAUUGCCCAGGCUGGCCACUUAAACACCUCUGCUUCAGCCUCCCGAAUUGCUGGGAUUAUAGGCAUGCACCACUACAUGGGACUUAACAAUUACUUUUAUCUGUGGUUAAAAGGCCCGGUGUAGGGCUGGCGUCAUGGCUCAGCAGUGGAGUGCUUGCCUCGCAUUUUUGAGGUGCUGGAUUUGAUCCUCAGCACGACAUAAAAAAUAAAUAAACAAAAUAAAGGUAUUGUAUCCAUCUACAACUUAAAAAAAUUAAGAAAAGUCUUGCUAGGGUUAAGAUUCUUCAGUAGUUCUUGAGAAAUUUGCUUAGCAUUUGAAUCAUGUGAAAGCUUAAUUUGACUCCUAUAUUGAUUACAUGAAAUUUGAAUACAGUGACUAAUCAAUCCUAUAUUGAUUAGUCACUGUAUUCAAAUUUCAUGUAAGCACUCAAAUAUAACAAAUCCAUUGAGCUUGGGUGUGGUGAUGUGUGCUUGUAAUCCCAGUGAAUCAGGAGUCUCAGGCAGGAGGAUUUCAAGUUUCAGGCCAACCAAUUUAUCCAGACACUGGUUGUAGCUCAGUGGUAAAGCACCACUGAUUUCAACCUCCUUACUAAAGGUAGAGAAAAAGUAAUCAGUAAUCAUAGAUGGGGGAAAAAAGAGAUUAAAUAGAUCAUGUCAUUAUAGUUUCUUAAUCUUCUCAUUAAAACCCCUUAUUUCAGUGAUUAUAGAAUUGUAACAGGACAGAAUUUGUGAAAGAACUUGUUUUGAACCCCAUCUAAAUAGGUUUAGUUAUUAAUACAGUAUCACUUAAAUUAUGGCCCAAAUGUUGGACAUGAUGGUGCAUCCCUGUGAUCCCAGGGAAUCUGGGAAGUUGAGGCAGGAGAAUCACAAAUUUGAGGCCAGCCAUGUCAACUUUGUGAUCCUGUCUCAAAAUAUAAAAUAAAAAGGGCUGGGCAUGUGACUCAUUUGUAGAUGGCUACUGUGUUUACAACCGUGUGCCAGGGUACACUCUUUUGGGAAGCACUGCACAGUCUGAAGAGAGUUGAACUGAAACAUAGAGGUCUUCAUUCAUUGCCAGGGAUUGAACGCAGUGGCACUCAGCCCCUUGGCCAUAUCCUCAGCCCUUUUUUAUAUUCUAUUUAGAGACAGGGUCUGGAUGAGUUGCUUAGGGCCCCCCUAAAUUGCUGAGGCUGUCUUUGAACUCCUGACCCUCCUGUCUCAGCCUCCUAAACCGCUGGGAUUACAGGCAUGCCUGGCUGAAACCAAGAGAGAUUCUUAGACUAACAGUGGUAAAUGGCUCACCAUCUGUAGCUCCUACUAUGAGUCUGGUUCUAUGCCAUGCCUUCUAAAAUUCACAACAUUCUUGCAUAGGGAAUACUUAUUAUCAAUUAUUACUAUUUUACAAAUGAGGAAAUUUGGGACCCAGAGAUAUUCACAAUCUGAAAGUGACUGAACUGGGAUUAGGAGACAGGCAGUGUCAACUAGAGCCCAUUCUUAUAAUUUCCACUGUCUCUUUCUUCAACAAUCCAAAGAAUAAGAGGAAGAAUGUGUUUCUGUGUAUAAUUACAAAUGGAAAAAAGGCCAGCAAUUCAAAAAAUCAAUACAUAACCUGUACAAGUCUAGUUUAAUUGUAUGGAUGGUUCUAAUAGAUGGUGAUCUUUUUUUCAAGACCCUUUCCUCAUGCAAAGUAACCAGUCACAACCAAGUAUUAAACUAUGGUAUACACUGUCACAUCUAUGUCUAAUCGUUUACCUCUGAGGGUACUGUGCUCACAUGUGUAGGAUGACCAAGUAGGAUCAUCAAGUAAGGCAGGGUAAUGGCUUUCCUUCAGGGGCAUUAUUUUCUAGUGAAGUGGAGUAAUAAGUGUCUAGUGUUUCUCAAAUUUAACACUAUUAUUUAUUUGGUGGUACUAGGGAUUGAACCCAGGGCAUUGUGCAUCUAAACAAGCCCUCUACCACUGAGCUAUAUCCCAGCCCUAAUUAUCAGCAUUUUAGAACACAGGAGGCUGUCCUGUGCAUUGUGGGAUUUGAUUUUUUUGGGGGGAGCACCUAGCAUUAGCUAAGGAAAAUAAUACUUUCCUUGCCCUAUCUACAACAAAUUUGGGUCAAGUUUCUAGUUUUUUGGGGGGGGCAGUAGAUUGAACUCAGGGGCAGGCACUCAACCACUGAGCCAUAUCCCCAGUACUAUUUUGUAUUUUAUUUAAAAACAGUUUCGGGAGACUGGGGUUGUGGCUCAGCGGUAGAGCACUCAGCCCUUGCAAGGCCCUGGGUUCGAUCCUCAGCACUACAAUAAGAAAUAAAUAUUUAAAAAAAAAAAAAAGGACAAGGUUUCACUGAGUUGCUUAGCACCUUGCCAUUGCUGAGGCUGGCUUUGAACUCUGGAUCCUCCUGUCUCAGCCUGUGGAGCUAUUCACUGGAUAUUAGUGCUAGUGUGCAGGACUAACACACAUACCUGACAAAUUAUUACUUCCAGAAAUGUCUACAGAUAUUGCCAAAUGUUGCCCCUGGGGCAAAACUGCCCCUGCUUUAGAUCAGUAGUAACAACUAGUGCUCUAGAUGCCCAAUAAAUUAAGAUCUCAUCUAUGUACCUUGCCUAAGAAGCCACAGAAAGCUGGGCAGUGCUGGUAAUCCUGGCAGAAACAGGAAGGUCACAAGUUCAAAACCAGCAUCAGUAAAUAGGUGAGGCCUGAGCAAUGCAGUGAGACUGUUUCUCUAAACAAAAUACAAAAUAGGACUAGGGAUGUCGCUCAAUGGUUAAGUCCCUGGUAUCAAAAAAAAAAAAAAAAAGGAAAACAAAACCAUAUAAGUGAUUCUAUAUUAUAUUUAAUGUCCAGUCAAAAUGAUCACUGACUUUUUUGUUUAGAUACACCAUGGUCAGAAAUGCAUAAAAUACAGAUAUUCCCCAGUGAUUCUAGUUAUACAUGAUUCUAAAUCAGAAGUAUGUAAAUAUCUUUCUCUAUUCUCUGAGAAAAAAAUCCCUGUUAUACUUUUCUAUAUGAAUAAACAUUAUUGCUGAUUUUUAUUUUGUCUCUGAUUUGAAUGUAGGUUUUUCAAAGCACCACUUUGCAACUUGCUGUUUUAAUUUUAUAGCUUAAAUUUCUUUUUAGCUUUUUAAAAUGUUUAUACAUAUUAUUUUUCAGUAGCUUUAUUGUAUUCUGUAUAAACUUCCUAUGAUUUAUUUAACUUAUCAUUUGCUGGGAUUUUUGUUAAGGUUGGUUCCCUUUUUUUGAUACUAUUGGUAAUUGUAGCAACGAACAUUCUUGUAUAUUUCCAAUCUAAAUACAUAAUUUCAUUCUUGUAUAUUUCCAAUCUAAAUACAUAAUUGUGUGUGAAGUAAGAUAAGUUCUUAGUAGGGAAAUUGAUAGGCUCAAUUUUAAAAGGAAUUGAGGUCAAGCUUCUCAGACCUAUCAGUCUUGGAUAAGUUUUAAUUUGUGCCUUAGUUAUAAUUUUUUUUUUUAAGGGGGAGAUCAGACAAUAAAGAUGACCCACCCCAUCCUCUGAUGGUUUAAAAAAGAAAGAAAGAACAUUAGGAGCAGGAAAACCUCGCUGACUAAGAUCUUGAAAAGAUUCAUGGUUCUGAAUUAAAACAAAAACAAAGCAAAAAUAGUAUAAGAGCUCCUUGCCCCUAUGAAAUUUUGUAAGGCUUUGGGUCUAAUAAUCUUAUUCCUUCCGCAGAUCGAGG
rnacentral:lncRNA from 1 species